rnacentral:tRNA from 1 species
GGGGAGAUGGUUGAGUGGUUUAAAACAACGGUUUGCUAAAUCGUCACGUGUUAUACUAGCACGUCAUGGGUUCGAAUCCCAUUCUUCCCA